CCAUGAAGGUGGCUGGGGCCAACCUCAUGGAGGUGGCUGG
rfam:Odocoileus hemionus prion protein pseudogene, complete sequence.